rnacentral:rRNA from 1 species
GACGAACGCUGGCGGCGUGCCUAACACAUGCAAGUCGAGCGGUAACAGGUGUAGCAAUACGAUGCUGACGAGCGGCGAACGGGUGAGUAAUGCUUCGGAAUCUUCCCAUGUAGUGGGGAAUAACUAGCCGAAAGGUUAGCUAAUACCGCAUACGUCCUCUCUUCUAACGGAUGGGGGGGAGAAAGCAGGGGAUCGCAAGACCUUGCGCUAUUGGAUGAGCCGAAGUCGGANAGCUAGUUGGUAGGGUAACGGCCUACCAAGGCGACAAUCCGUAGCUGGUCUGAGAGGACGACCAGCCACACUGGGACUGAGACACGGCCCAGAC